UAUGCCCCUCUGCCCACUGCACCAUAAUGGCUGCCCUGCAAUAAGGAUAUACUCUUUGAUUGCCAGUGGAUAUCCUGCAGCGAAUCAACGCUUUUCCUUUCUGACGACUUUCAGCCUGCCUCAUUCCAAAUCUGAGGCCAGAAAUAACUGUCAGCGUUGGCCCAACUAGGCUCCUGGAAUCCAGGCUCUCUGUCCAUCGCCGAGGGGCCGACAUUCUUUAUGUUUCAAGAAAAGCCAUCAUGCUGCGGCCAUAUGCAGGUGGGAAACGAGGAAUGCUUGGGAACAAAACCUACAGCUUCAUUCCCCUCCGUUCACCAGACCCGGGUUGGGCUGUACCAGCUGUUUGAGAAACCCCCAGUGUGGGAAAGUCUCUCCUCGGCUAAUGGAAGACAAACACCUCGGAGAGCGGUAGAGAUAGCAUGAAAACGAUUAAAGCGUGACCCACAUUCUGUUGUGUCUCUGGCCUUUCACUGCAGUUGAGAAAUACAGGAGGAGACCUUGCUAAUGAAAACACUAAAGAAACACAGGAUGCUAAUGAAGAUAAACAACCUCAUCCCAAGGUUCAGCUGGCACCGGCUUUGACACGAUGAGAGGAGGAAGGUGCUCGUCAAUAGACCCAUUAUAUUUGAACUGAGCUGUAAUACUUCCCCAAGAAACAAAUGCAAUUAUAAUUACAAAUGUCUCAAACUUAUUUUAAAUCCUGUCAUAUAUACUCAGAGAGUUUAAAGUGAACAAGCAGCCUCAAAGAUGCCUUCAUGUAUUAUAAAUGUGAUGGGAGGGCAGCACUUGACAACGUUAUUUAGUUAGGUUAUCAUGAACUUCUUGUGACAUUUCAGUGGUUGGCAUUUGCUUUCCACAGAAAAGCUUCAAAUGAUCUUCUUCUUGUACUCAUAACAAUGCAAUUCCUUUAAAAGGCUUUUAUGGCAUUUCUAUGUAUUCAUUAGUGUCAAGUCUUAAAAUGGCAUUGCCUCUAAUAAAACACGCUAAUUCAAAAA